AGCACAGUCAGCUAAAUAAGCUCUCGGGCCCAUACCCCGAAAAUGUUGGAUACACCCAACCUCUGCU
rnacentral:tRNA from 1 species